AAAUGGGCAAAUCUCCAAAAUAGCACCUUUCUAAGUUUAUAUCACAAAAAUAGCACUCAAAAACUAAAAUGACCAAAAUAGCAUUUUAUUUUUUGAAAAAUUUAAAUUUUUUUAUUUUUCAAAAUUUGAAAUCUUAUCCUCAAAACCUCACUUUUCAACUCUAAACCCUAAAACCUAAACUCUAAACCCUAAAUCCUAAAUUCUAAACCCUAAACCCCACCCCUUGAGUGCUAUUUUUGUGAUUUUUGGCCUUAAGUGCUAGGUUGGGAACAAAAACUUGAUUUAGUACUAUUUUGGUCUUUUUCUCUUACUAAAUUGUUAAAAACAGAAGGUAUCUGCUUAUACCUAACUAAAUAAAGAAAUGUUAAAAUGCAUACCGAUCAGAGGAAUUGUGGAGAACAAAGGGGAAAACACGAGAAAUGAAUUCGUAACAAAGUUGGUGAAGCAAGCGGAACCUUUUGUUUUUACGUGAAGAGGACCCAUUCAUUUUUUCCACCACCAAACAUUUAUUUACUUGAUUUAUUAUACUGUCAUUUUUCCACAUUAUACCAUAUUUCUUGGUCUUUACUUAAGAGGGUUAAAGACUUGAAGCUAGGAAGGCAAACAAUACACGUCAAACCUGGAAAUGAAUAACUUCAUUUACAAUGUUUCUAUAGUGUGUAGGUUACAAUAUAGGUCAAACUCGCAAAUGAUAGAUGAACAAGAAAAUAAAACAUAGAUACUCAACUAUUAAAGUAAGGAAAGAAACAUGUCAAUAAACCCUAAAACCUAAACUCUAAACCCUAAAUCCUAAAUUCUAAACCCUAAACCCCACCCCUUGAGU
rnacentral:lncRNA from 1 species